CACGUAGGCGGAUUUGUAAGUCAGGGGUGAAAUCCCGGGGCUCAACCUCGGAACUGCCUUUGAUACUGCGAAUCUCGAGUCCGGAAGAGGUGAGUGGAAUUCCUAGUGUAGAGGUGAAAUUCGUAGAUAUUAGGAAGAACACCAGUGGCGAAGGCGGCUCACUGGUCCGGUACUGACGCUGAGGUGCGAAAGCGUGGGGAGCAAACA
rnacentral:rRNA from 1 species